rnacentral:rRNA from 1 species
UACGAAGGGGCUAGCGUUGUUCGGAAUACUGGGCGUAAAGCGUAUGCAGGCGGAUCGUUAAGUCGGGGGUGAAAUCCCGAGGCUCCGAACCUCGGAACUGCCUUCGAUACUGGCGAACCUUCGAGUCCGGGAGAGGUGAGUGGAACUCCGAGUGUAGAGGUGAAAUUCGUAGAUAAUUCGGAAGAACACCAGUGGCGAAGGCGGCUCACUGGCCCGGUACUGACGCUGAGA